GUAAGGCUCCAGCUUGCUGGGGUACACGAGUGGCGAACGGGUGAGUAACACGUGGGUGACCUGCCCUGCACUUCGGGAUAAGCCUGGGAAACUGGGUCUAAUACCGGAUAGGACCAUGGUGUGGAUACUGUGGUGGAAAGUUUUUUCGGUGUGGGAUGGGCCCGCGGCCUAUCAGCUUGUUGGUGGGGUAAUGGCCUACCAAGGCGGCGACGGGUAGCCGGCCUGAGAAGGUGGACGGCCACAUUGGGACUGAGACACGGCCCAGACUCCUACGGGAGGCAGCAGUGGGGAAUAUUGCACAAUGGGCGCAAGCCUGAUGCAGCGACGCCGCGUGGGGGAUGACGGCCUUCGGGUUGUAAACUCCUUUCACCAUCGACGAAGGGUUUCUGACGGUAGAUGGAGAAGAAGCACCGGCUAACUACGUGCCAGCAGCCGCGGUAAUACGUAGGGUGCGAGCGUUGUCCGGAAUUACUGGGCGUAAAGAGCUCGUAGGUGGUUUGUCGCGUCGUCUGUGAAAUUCCGGGGCUUAACUCCGGGCGUGCAGGCGAUACGGGCAUAACUUGAGUACUGUAGGGGAGACUGGAAUUCCUGGUGUAGCGGUGAAAUGCGCAGAUAUCAGGAGGAACACCGGUGGCGAAGGCGGGUCUCUGGGCAGUAACUGACGCUGAGGAGCGAAAGCAUGGGGAGCGAACAGGAUUA
rnacentral:rRNA from 1 species